UUGUGGAGGAGGACGCCGAAGGUGGGGCUAAUGACUGGGGUGAAGUCGUAACAAGGUAGCCGUACCGGAAGGUGCGGCUGGAUCACCUCCUAACAGGGAGACAACAAAAUGUUUAAUAUUAUUAUUUUGUCACCUUAGGUCGAUCGGUAUCUCACGUUUUUAAUUUUUUAAGAAUUUCAUUUCCUAAGUUUUUCUAGGUCACACCCAUUUUUUUUCCUGGGCCAUUAGCUCAGGUGGUUAGAGCGCACCCCUGAUAAGGGUGAGGUCCCUGGUUCAAGUCCAGGAUGGCCCAUAUCUCUAUGUUGGGGGUAUAGCUCAGUUGGUAGAGCGCCUGCUUUGCAAGCAGGAUGUCAGCGGUUCGAGUCCGCUUACCUCCACUGAUUACCACCUCUUCCAUAACCGGUAGAAAGGAAAUUUUUUGAGUUGUGAUCAAAUUCUGAAAGAAUCUAGCUUCCUAAUGAAAUCAUUAAGAUGCUGGACUCAUUGAAUUAAUUUCAUUGUUUUCAGAGAACCUUGACAACUGCAUAGAUUAUUUUUAAAGACAAUAAGCAUCUUUAAUGAUGCAGAUUUAUUAUUUGUGCGAAUGCAUUAAUAACAAUUCUAUUAAGCUGAUGCUUCAAUUUUUGAAGUUAUUGGUCAGGCUACAA
rnacentral:misc_RNA from 1 species